UGCAGAGCCCGGGCAGAGCGUGUGGAUGUUAGGAGAGAACAGAGUGUCCCUGGCUGAACAAAGCCAGCUGCAAACUUGCUCGGGCCCUUCCGUUUCCUCGGUGAGGGGACCUAGCGCGGCCCCUAGUGGCCGCUCCUAGAAUGCUCCGGGCCGUCUUCACCGGGAACUUGUUCAUCCACUAGGCCCCUGCGCCAGAGCCGAGAGCCGGAGUGGACAAGCCUGAAUGAGUGACAUUGUGCCCUGAAAGCCUUCACCAGCUGGAUAAAAUUCCAUUGUCGGAAUCCCUCUCUCUCACUGCCACUGUCUCAUCCCCUUUCUUGCCUUCUUGACCUGUGUGCUUGGAUGAAGCUGGCUGCCAUGUUGGAGAGAUCAGAGUGUCACAGAGCCAAGGUGACUUCCUGUUCACCAUACAACAAAGACCCGUUACUCUUAGCCCACCAGCUGGUGAGGAGCUGAGUCCUGUUAACAGCCAAGACUAGGGCUACCAUAUGCUCGGGAGAUGAACUACAAAGAAGGAUGAAAACAGCAGAGAGAGGUACUAUGGAAACAUCAAAUGAUGAAGGAUUCCACCAAGCACCCAGAAGAAAUGAGAUACCAGUGCCAACAGAGCAGGAAAAUCAUACUUCAGUAGAACAAAUAGAAAUGUAAAUGAAUAAUGCUCAAUGUGAAAAUUUGAAAAGACAGACGUGGACAAAGACAAAAGAAAAAAAACACAUAAUCCCAUUAUCCAGAGAGAACCAUUGUUAAUAUUUUUAAAAGAUUUCUCUUCUUCAAUGCAUAUUUUAUAUAUAGUUUAUAUUUUUAUAGUAUAUGCAAUUUCACUUUAAUUAAAAUUUAAAUUAUGAAAUAAUUCAAACACAGAAAAUAAGUUGUCACCAAGUAUAACAGUCUAGAUUGUUUGGUACAGAUCCCUCUUCAUCCCAUGCAAUACCAUCAGCUUAGACAACAAAGACAUUUAUUUUUUUCUAUCACAUAAAAUCCAUCUGUAGGUUGUCCAUCCAGAGCUGGUUUGGCAUUUCUGCCGUAUCAUCAUUAUGAACACAACUUUUAGUUCUUUGUUCUGCCAUCUUGGGUUGUCUUUGUGUUUUCAAGAUGGUUGUUGGAGCUCCAGAAAUCAGAUCCACAUGGUACACCAUGGGAAUGACUUACUCUUUAAAAAGACUUAGAGGAAGUUUUAGACAACACUCUCUACCACAUCUUAUUGGCUCCAAUUUAGUCAUGUGUUCACAUGUCAUUGCAGAGUGAUAGGAAAUGAAAUCUUUUAUUCAAGAUGAUGAUGUUCCCAGCUAAAAAAGAUUCUUUGCCAUGCUGUGGAAUCAUCAGCCAGAUUUGACAUACGAAAUCACUUGGUUAAUUUUGGUCUCUUUAAAACAAUUUAAAUUAAGAAAUGAAAAAUUAAAGAUAUAAUAGAUAGAUUCCACUUUCACUGGCUGUAGGAAGUUGAAAAGUGCCAUUUCCACUUAAUAAGAAAAUCCAGAUAAACCAUAGUCGUAACUUUUCUUGAAGUCAUCAGAGCCUUGGGGAUGGAGGGUAACUAAGAAGCCUGUAAUCCAAGGAAAGAUAGGCCUGCCAAGGAGAAAGGACACAGAUAUGGCUCCCCUUGUGUCAGUCACAGGAGGGAGAAACACUGGAUACCAUAUUAGAAGGUAAAAGAAGUCAACUAAAUUUAUAUAUAUGAAAACUUCAUAUAUAUAUUAUAAAAUUUAGUUGACUAUUCUAUACACACUGUGCACCAUCCAAUAAAAAUUACAAUAUGCACUAUAUAUGUGUAUGUGUGUGUGUGUGUGUGUGUGUGUGUGUGUGUGUGUGUGUGUGUGUAUAUAUGAUUCCUUUAUUUUUAUCUGGUGCUGAGCUACAACCUCAGCCCUCAACUAAAUUUUUAAUGAAUUGGUAAAGGCUGAAUAAGGGCUACUGUUGACUUUAUAGAAAUCUGAGCUCUCCAAGACACAAGGGGAAUUCAUCUAAUCCUCUCAUGCAAACAAAAUAAAAAGUACAUGUAUAAAGACAUGAAAUGGCGUGAACAUACUUUAUAUACAAAGAUAUGAAAAAUUAUGCUCUAUAUGUGUAA